rnacentral:rRNA from 1 species
GAGUGGCGGACGGGUGAGUAAUGCUUGGGAACUUGCCUUUGCGAGGGGGAUAACAGUUGGAAACGACUGCUAAUACCGCAUAAUGUCUUCGGACCAAACGGGGCUUCGGCUCCGGCGCAAAGAGAGGCCCAAGUGAGAUUAGCUAGUUGGUAAGGUAACGGCUUACCAAGGCGACGAUCUCUAGCUGUUCUGAGAGGAAGAUCAGCCACACUGGGACUGAGACACGGCCCAGACUCCUACGGGAGGCAGCAGUGGGGAAUAUUGCACAAUGGGGGAAACCCUGAUGCAGCCAUGCCGCGUGUGUGAAGAAGGCCUUCGGGUUGUAAAGCACUUUCAGUUGUGAGGAAAAGUUAGUAGUUAAUACCUGCUAGCCGUGACGUUAACAACAGAAGAAGCACCGGCUAACUCCGUGCCAGCAGCCGCGGUAAUACGGAGGGUGCGAGCGUUAAUCGGAAUUACUGGGCGUAAAGCGCACGCAGGCGGUUUGUUAAGCUAGAUGUGAAAGCCCCGGGCUCAACCUGGGAUGGUCAUUUAGAACUGGCAGACUAGAGUCUUGGAGAGGGGAGUGGAAUUCCAGGUGUAGCGGUGAAAUGCGUAGAUAUCUGGAGGAACAUCAGUGGCGAAGGCGACUCNCCUGGCCAAAGACUGACGCUCAUGUGCGAAAGUGUGGGUAGCGAACAGGAUUAGAUACCCUGGUAGUCCACACCGUAAACGCUGUCUACUAGCUGUGUGUG